rnacentral:rRNA from 1 species
UACGAAGGGGGCUAGCGUUGCUCGGAAUCACUGGGCGUAAAGGGUGCGUAGGCGGGUCUUUAAGUCAGGGGUGAAAUCCUGGAGCUCAACUCCAGAACUGCCUUUGAUACUGAGGAUCUUGAGUUCGGGAGAGGUGAGUGGAACUGCGAGUGUAGAGGUGAAAUUCGUAGAUAUUCGCAAGAACACCAGUGGCGAAGGCGGCUCACUGGCCCGAUACUGACGACUGACGGCA